rnacentral:rRNA from 1 species
UGGGGAAUAUUGCGCAAUGGGCGAAAGCCUGACGCAGCCAUACCGCGUGUGUGAAGAAGGCCUUCGGGUUGUAAAGCACUUUCAGUGGGGAGGAAAAGCUGGUGGCUAAUAUCCAUCGGCCGUGACGCUACCCACAGAAGAAGCACCGGCUAAUUCCGUGCCAGCAGCCGCGGUAAUACGGAAGGUGCGAGCGUUAAUCGGAAUUACUGGGCGUAAAGCGCACGUAGGUGGCUUGGUAAGUCGGAUGUGAAAGCCCCGGGCUCAACCUGGGAACUGCAUUCGAUACUGCCGAGCUAGAGUACGAAAGAGGGGGGUGGAAUUCCAGGUGUAGCGGUGAAAUGCGUAGAGAUCUGGAGGAACACCAGUGGCGAAGGCGGCCCCCUGGUUCGAUACUGACGCU